rnacentral:lncRNA from 1 species
UUUGUUACAACAUUCACUCAUUAGGGUGUAAGCAUUGCCUGGGCUCUUGAAGCUCCUUGAAACUUUGAAACACUCUAAGAGAAGGCCUUGGAAUCUGGCAUCCGGACUUGGUGAAACACAUGUAUUUGAUAUCAAGAUCGCAUUAGGUAGUUUGGAUCUAGCUGCGGGCUAUGAUGUAUUUUAUUUCAUUUUUUGGCCUUGUAAUAGUAACAUUGUAAUAAAACUUGGGGAAUAUAGUAGUGAGGGGUAGGGUAGGGGUUAGCUUUUAGUUGUUUGUAUGUUAACGGGUACAUAUCAUGCCUAUAGGAAUUUCACUGCUUUAAGUCACCCAGAUAUCAUGCCUAUAGGACUUUUUACUACUUUAAGUCACCUAGAUAUCAUGCCUAUUGGAAUUUUACUGCUUUAAGUCACCUCGAUAUCAUGCCUAUUAGAAUUUUACUGCUUUAAGUCACCUAGAGAUCAUGCCAAUAGGACUUUUACUGCUUUAAGUCACCUAGAUAUCAUGCUUAUAGGAAUUUUACUUAUUUAAAUAACUUAGAUAUCAUGCCUAUAGGCUUUUAACAUUUGAAUCACCUAGAGACCAUGUCCCUACGUUUGCAUUUUUCUGCAUUCAAGCAUAUAGAAAUCAUGCCUAUAGAAUUGCAUAAAUAUAAUAACAAUAGGCAAACCAUAGGUAACACAACUCUCGUCUGCCUGAAACGUUUUAAAAAUAGCAUUGAGUAAAUAAAGAAAUCAGACUAGAUAUCCUGCCUAUAAGAUCUCCAAACCCCAUUUAAAUCGUAUAAUCAGUAACCUGGCAAUUAUUUCAACGUUUUCAACAUAAUUUGUCCAAGCCUGUCUACAACUCUAAGAACUUGUAUUUCUGUCGCUAAAAAAUGGUUUUCCAACUCUCUGUCUGAAUUUUAUUUACGAGGUUACUUUCAAACAGCUUUCAAACUCUCGCUUUUUUAUAAACACUUUUCUUCUAAAACAUUUCUUUAAAACAAUCCCAACGAUUUUUUUCAAAAGCCUUUCUAAACUUCUGCAGAUUUUUGCUUCUUUAAAACGUGUAUGCGUCAGUCUUCAAUUAACAACUUGGUAAAAUACUCCAAAUCUUAACUAUUGGAUCCAAUUUUCCUAAUGUAGACCUUUUAUCUAGUUCUGUGUGUUAAACUGAUCCGUCCGCCAUUUAAUUUCUUAACCUUAAAGACCAAAUCAGUAUAUGCGAGUCAUGCUAAACAGUUGUUAUGUGAUUUAUGGGGUUUGUAUAAGCCUUUGAGUGUUUAAUCGAUUCCCCACUUAUUUGCUAUUUGUUUUCACUUAUGCCCUAGUAUUUUAUCCUUUGAAACUCCAUGCAAAACCCCACACCUUUUUCCCUUUUAGGAUUAGAAGUCCAA